rnacentral:rRNA from 1 species
CCAGACUCCUACGGGAGGCAGCAGUGAGGAAUAUUGGUCAAUGGCCGCAGGGCUGAACCAGCCAAGUCGCGUGAGGGAUGACGGUCCUAUGGAUUGUAAACCUCUUUUGUCAGGGAGCAAAGGGCGCCACGUGUGGCGUUUUGCGAGUACCUGAAGAAAAAGCAUCGGCUAACUCCGUGCCAGCAGCCGCGGUAAUACGGAGGAUGCGAGCGUUAUCCGGAUUUAUUGGGUUUAAAGGGUGCGCAGGCGGGGAGUUAAGUCAGCGGUAAAAUUCCGGGGCUCAACCCCGACAAGCCGUUGAAACUGGCUUGCUAGAGUGGGCGAGAAGUAUGCGGAAUGCGUGGUGUAGCGGUGAAAUGCAUAGAUAUCACGCAGAACUCCGAUUGCGAAGGCAGCAUACCGGCGCCCAACUGACGCUCAGGCACGAAAGCGUGGGUAUCGAACAGGAUUAGAUACCCCAGUAAU